UUGCAAAACUUCAGCUGCUUCAUCUUCUCCCCUCUUCGAAACUCAGCCCCUGCAUAUGGUUUGUUUUUCUACUUCGCUCGUUGGCUGCUGGUUCAUCAAGAACUUGUUGCUGUCAAUAAUUUAAGCAUGGAAUUUCCAGUUAGCAUGGUCAACUUGUUGCAGGCACAAUCACCCUUUGAAGAAGAAUUUGCGUUGUUUAGCUCUCAAUUCACAAGUGUUGGGGCCAAGAGUUAUAAUGUUGAAGUGGAUCCACCUUUUUCAAUUGACAAGAGUCACCAAGCGUCAUAAUAUUGAAUUUGGGUUGUUUAGCUCUCAAUUGACAAGAGUUCCAUAGUUUUUAAGAACUCUGUUUUGAUUUAGAACGUUUUUUAUGUUUUUCCUGUCUUGGCAUGUUAACUUACUUCACCUUAUUCUGAAAUUUGGCAUCUCUGCCUUCUUAAGGUGUUCAAGUAUUACAUUCAAUGAAAAUAGUACUUGUAUCUGUAACUGAAAAUCAAAUCUUUUGUAAAUGAAAUUGGUACUGCAGUAUAUUUUGGCAAAUAAA